rnacentral:lncRNA from 1 species
GCCAGUCUUGGUCGCUGAUCCUCCAUGACUUUCUGCCAUAGCCUCAAUCUCUCUAUCUCUUGCUUCAUUUUAAAAGGUGAAAUUAGUGAUAAUCUAUGACCAAGACAUACUUUCAAAGGAUUUGCAGAGAAUGAUACAUAGAAAUACAACCUAGACCUAGGUAAUUGAAUCAAACACUGGACAACAUCAAUAGCAGGGUUAUUUUGAUCAAUUCAUCUGGACAAUUCAUUGUCAAUUAAUGUAUUGACAUGUUUGAAAGAAUUAUGAGACAUUUUAUGGACAAAUACAAACACACAACUAGCUUGCCCAUUCAGUUAGGGGUUUGAGAAAUUCCCGUUGCAAUUUGUGUGAUGUUACAACAAUGUUACCUCUGAUGUUUAUGCUUGUAGAAAUUACUCCUACAAAUGAUGUUUCACUAAUGCAAUUAUUUACAACCUGCACACAUACAGUUAUCAACAACAACAACAGUAAUGAUGUUAAUAAGGAAGUGGAUAUUCAACCGGCAGAAGAAAGGCAUAGGGGUUGAGAUAAAUGAAGGUUAGGUUCAGGACCUAGGGUUGGGUUAAGGUAAAGGUUAGGUAUAGUUUCACUGAGGUUAAGGUAAGGUUUAAGGAAAGGCAUAAAAGUUAACAUUGGGUUAGCGUACCGCUGUCCGCCACGAUUCAUUUUCAGCUGGGUAAAUAUACACUGCCUUUUAAUAAUAACAAUGACAUGUCUUACGUGGGCCAGUUGUAGAUCCACCAUCAGUAGCUCCAGCAGAUGUUUGAGGCUCUUGAUCUCCUGAAUUUUUCUGUUGUUCUCCUUCGCUUCUGUGACUCUCUGUGCCUCCCUCUGUCUCUCUGCCUCCCUCUGUCUCUCUGCCUCUCUCUGUCUCUCUGCCUCCCUCUGUCUCUCUGCCUCUCUCUGCCUCUCUGCUUCUCUUUGUCUCUCUGCCUCCCUCUGUCUCUCUGCCUCCCUCUGUCUCUCUGCCUCUCUCUGUCUCUCUGCUUCUCUUUGUCUCUCUGCCUCCCUCUGUCUCUCUGCCUCUCUCUGGCUCUCUGCUUCUCUCUGUCUCAGGAUUUCAACCUUCCACUCUUUCAUUAGACCCCUUUCUACUCUUCUUCUCCUCCUUACCUCUUCUAAAAGGGAUCUGAGAUGGUCUGUCUCAGACUGUAAUUGUUCAAUGAUCUUGUCCUUCUCCGUUCCACCAUUCCUCUUCUUCUUUUCCUCCUCCCAGAGGCACACUUGAAGUCUGUCCAUCUCCUUCUUCUGAUUUCGGAUCGUUCGAUCCUUCCCCCUCAACUCAAGCAUGUGGGCUUCCUUCUCUGUACAGGUCUUCUUCUCUUCUCUCAGGAACUGAACCUCCAUCUCUGCCUGCUUGUAGCUGGGAGCAAAGGAAUGUCCACACAUUAUUUAGGAAGUGAACUCAGACAAUUUAUUACAGUGUUAAAAUAAUAACUAAACCUCUGCGCAAUUAAACUGUCUUUAAUAACACAACUCACACAACUGUGACUUACAGUACGUGAAUGUAAUGAGUUGACUGUCCAUGAUGGCCAGAGCUAGGUUAUGUGAUGAAUGACUUACAGACUGUUCCACAUGAUAGGAGGGGGUAAGAAGCAAGUCCCAGUAGGAGACGGAGAUCGUCCAGAAGAAGAAGAGGUGUCCAUCUCCUCAGAGACUGUAGUAAAGGUCUACAAGUUUUAUUUCUGGAAAAUAAAGAGAUGCCUUCGUUCAGCAACAAUGUGUGUUUCUAUGUUUCUGUCACUAGAUGGGGCCAUUGUACACAACAUUUACUCACCAGGUCAGUUAAUUCAGAAAUAGUCUACACACUACAGUACUCAAGCUCUAGCCUACAACCCAUCAUGCAUCAGCACAAGUAAUAUAAUACUACCUCAUCACAAUUUCAUAAUCACAGUACACCUGGAUUGUGUUCACAAAGUGUUUCAGGGUAGGAGUGCUGAUCUAGGAUCAGAUCCCCCCGUCCAUCAAAAC